GCGCCUUUGGUGUAAGGCGAACAUCGCUGCCCGGAAAGCAGGAGAUGCGGGUUCGAGUCCCGCCUGGCGCA
rnacentral:tRNA from 1 species